ensembl:lncRNA
CGGCGGCGGCGGCGGCGGCGGCGGGCGGGGAGGAGGCCGCGCCGCCCGGGCCCAGGCGCCGCUCUAGCCGCGCCGGCUCAGCCGAGCGCGCUGCGCCGCGGCCCCUCGCGGCCCGCCCCGGGCCCGGCCGCGCCGCCAUCUUCCGUGCCUCGCAGUGCUCGCGCCCCGCCCGCCGGGGUCCCCGCGGCUCCGGGGAGGCCCUCCCGGCCGCGCGCGGCGCCCUCCGGAGCGCGGCGGAGCCCCGGGUGGGAGCGGCUCCGGGGCCGCUGGAAUCCGGGGCAGGACGUCUUGUUUGCCCGGGCGGCGGCUCCCCGGCCAAGCCUGCACCGGCGCCUGCGGGGACCCCCGGGGACCGACUUGAACUCGAGUCACCUUCUGGGGCCGCUGUCACCCGCAGACCCAGAGCCCUUGGGCGUGCCGGGUGGGCAGGCCUUCCCCACGGGAUGAACUGCGCCUCAGCCGCCGUGCCGGCACGCCGCCCCCGCCGCCCGCAGCGGUAUUUUAAGCCGGUGGUGGUGACCCGAGGGCCGGCUGAUUCAGUCCACCUCUGAAAGGCCUAUGGCAUCUUUCCUUCCUCUCCAUUCCCACUACCAAAGCUUACUUCGUCCACCCGUUCAUCUAUUCAAAAAAUGUGUACUGAGCAUCUCCUAUGUGACAGACACUGUUUAGGUUCUUGGGAUAUAUUGCUAAACAAAAGAGGCAAAAUUAAUAGCCCUCUGGGUCUAACAAUUUAAUUCUGGGUCUAUGUCCUCACCCUUGGGCCACUGAGACAUCCUUUCACCUGAACGUCUCAGCUUUACCUCCUAUAAUAUGUCCUGUAGCCAGCUUCCAUACUGAUUUUUCGUAACUAAAAGUUUAUCCUUUGAUCAUGCAUGCUGUUCCAUGGUUCAAAAAAGCCCUCCUGGUAAACUGGCCUACCCUAUUUGAUAUUACCUCCCCUGUUCCUAAAAUUCUUCACUUUAUCCAAGACAUUUUCACAAGCAAGUUUCCAUGCCUGUGCUAAGCCAGUGUUCUGUAGUUUCCACCAAUGUGAAUUACAAAGGGUUGAAUUUGUCUCCCAAAGAUAGCUUCAACUCCUAACCCUCCGUACCUGUGAACAUGACCUUGUUUGAAAAUAGGGUCUUUGCAGGUGUAAUCGAGUUAAAAUGAGUUCAUACUGGGUUAGGAGGGGCUUUAAGACCAAUGACUGGUAUCUUUAUAAGAGAAAAGAGAGGAAGAAUUGGACCCACAAACACAGGGAAGAAGGCCGUGUGAAGAGAUGGAGAUAGAGAUUAGAAUGAUGCAGCUACAAGCCAAGGAAUGCCAAGAAUUUCCAGGAGUUCUGAGAAGCUAGAAGGAGGCAAGGAAAGAUUCUUCCCUAGAGACUUCAGAGGGAGCGUAGCCCUUCCAACACCUUGAUUUUGGACUUCCAGCUUCCAGAACUAUCGUGAAAACCUUGAAUGCCUGCUAAGAAAUUUCAACUUUAUUCUAAAGGCAUUGGCAACUGAAUGAAGGUUUUGGUUUUAGAGCGAGAGAAUGACACUUUCAGAGCAUUCUGAGGAAUGACUCAGAAAACUAUCCAGAGGAUGGCUGUAGUCAUCCAGAUAAGAGGCAAUGAUGGCAUGAGCAAAGCCAAUGACAGUGCAGAUGGAACACAAGGAACAGGUGCAAGAUUUAUUGUGGAGAUAAGAGUGGAACAACUUAGCAACCAAUGGGAUAUGAGGAUUGAUGGAGGCAAAAAGAUUGCAAGUGACUGGGAAAGUGUCUGGAAGGAUGAUGGUUCAUAACACACCAGAAUGGAUGAGAAGAAGAAGAAGUCUUAAGCACUGUGAAUGAAGGCUGGCGCCUCCCUCAAGCCAACCUGAGGUCUGUGGAGUGGCUGUUUUAUUUUUCAUAGUCACAGGGAGGCCCAGAACACUGCUCUGAAGAAGAAAAAUCAUGAAGCCAUUGUGUAAAAGAGAGAAGAGAAAACUGUUUAGGUUUUGAAAACCUUCCAGUUUCCACUUCUAGGCUCUA